CACGUAGGGCGCAAGCGUUGUCCGGAAUUAUUGGGCGUAAAGAGCUCGUAGGCGGUCUGUUGCGUCCGCUGUGAAAACCCGGGGCUUAACCCUGGGCUGGCAGUGGAUACGGACAGACUAGAGGUAGGUAGGGGAGAAUGGAAUUCCCGGUGUAGCGGUGAAAUGCGCAGAUAUCGGGAGGAACACCGGUGGCGAAGGCGGUUCUCUGGGCCUUACCCGAGCUGAGGAGCGAAAGCGUGGGGAGCGAACAGG
rnacentral:rRNA from 1 species